rnacentral:tRNA from 1 species
GGUUGUUUGGCCGAGCGGUCUAAGGCGCCUGAUUCAAGAGUUCGACUACUUACCAGUGGCCGAACCACUGGGAACCCUCAGGUAUCGCAAGAUGCGUGAGUUCGAAUCUCACAGCAACCA